rnacentral:rRNA from 1 species
CGCAAGCCUGACGGAGCAAGACCGCGUGGGGGAGGAAAGCCUUUGGGUUGUAAACCCCUUUUCUCAGGGAAGAAGAAAGUGACGGUACCUGAGGAAUCAGCCUCGGCUAACUCCGUGCCAGCAGCCGCGGUAAUACGGAGGAGGCAAGCGUUAUCCGGAAUGAUUGGGCGUAAAGCGUCCGCAGGCGGUUGGUCAAGUCUGCUGUUAAAGGCCGAGGCUUAACUACGGUUGAGCAGUGGAAACGGACGAACUAGAGUGCGAUAGGGGUAGAGGGAAUUCCCAGUGUAGCGGUGAAAUGCGUAGAUAUUGGGAAGAACACCAGUGGCGAAAGCGCUCUGCUGGGCCGCAACUGACACUGAGGGACGAAAGCUAGGGGAGCG